rnacentral:rRNA from 1 species
UGCUUAACACAUGCAAGUCGAACGAGAAAGUUCUUGGGAAUGAGUAUAGUGGCGAACGGGUGAGUAGCGCGUGAGGAUCUCCCCUUCAGUGAAGGAUACCCUUGAGAAAUUAAGGUUAAUACUGCAUACGACCGAUAGAAAUAUCGGAGAAAGAUGGCCUCUUGCUGUCGCUGAAAGAUGAACUUGCGUUCUAUUAGCUAGUUGGUGGGGUAAAGGCUCACCAAGGCGAUGAUGGAUAGUGGCCUGAGAGGGUGAACGGCCACAUUGCAUCUGAGAAACGGUCCAGACUCCUACGGGAGGCAGCAGUGAGGAAUAUUGCACAAUGGGCGAAAGCCUGAUGCAGCGCCUUCUCGUGAAGGAUGAAGGUCUUAGGAUUGUAAACUUC